UUUGUUUUGGCGUGACCAUGGUAGUGCUUCUGUUUGAGAAUCCUGGUUUGUGUUUGCUCAUCCAAAACCAUGUUGAAGUUAAGACUUCCUGUUGUCUUCUGGGGACCCAGUAGUGAGGACCUGCCUGGAUUUAACUCUGUGCUGGCCCAGCUUGGCUCUGUGGCUUCAAGAUCCACCAUUCGCUCCUGCACUUAUAACCACAGAGGCCACACCAACAUGUACUUCAGUGGACCUAUCACUUCCUGCUGUCUCCCAUGGCAUCAGGGAAGAGACAGAUUCUCCAGGGGCAUCCUGUUGUGGCUCAGGGUUUGGGCCAUAUAAGGAUGCAUCCAGUACAAAAGACCAAAUACAAAUAUAUAGAAUUGUCAUUUGACAAA